rnacentral:snRNA from 1 species
AUGCUCACUUUGGCAGCUCGCAUGCUAAAAUCGGAAUGACGGAGAAGAUUAGCAUGGUUUUUGCAAGGAUUACAUGCGAUUUCAUGAUGAUAAUACAUACAUA